UGAAGGCAGCACAUUCGAAAUUCUAUCAUCAUUCAUGGCAUUAAGGGAAUUUACACAUGCCUUUUAGAACAUCAUCCCAUGGAGGUUAGAUUGGCCCCAAAGGCCCCACUGCCUUUGUGAAAGGAUCUGGAGCUAUGGACUUGUCAUUGUGCUUGGGGAUCUAGCAAUGUGUUGAAUCUGAAAGAUACUUGUAGAUUGUGAUGUACGGAUUGUGAAGGUCUGCAAAUGGGUGUUAGAAGCGCGUAUAUUUGGGGCAAUAUUUUCUACCAAAAGCUUCUCCAUGUAUUGGCCAAAGAAGGGCCAAGCCUGGGCCACAAUCUGUCACAGAGUAAAAAUCAGUCAUGAAUUCUGAAUCAUUCCUCCAUGGAGAACUGCUACAAGUUACAAUUUAGUAAUGUUUGGGUGUUUAUCUGA